AGUUCCUAUAUUACAUGUACGUGGGCCAGCUGGUCAGAUCUACUGUCGCAUCUCUUAAUUGUCCUCACCCAGCUGUGGCAGAGGAAGAAUUCUCCAUCAUGCGCUCAAUUGGGCGGAGCUCCCAUGUUUCCAAGGUCUUCCCAGGGCCCGGGGCCCAGUCCCUCGAAAUAAAUUGACUUCUCGUCUGGGUCCUACUCCGUAAAGCUUCUCCAAGUCCCCAAGUGCUGAUGUGGGAUGCCAGGUUUGUCCAUCCAUAGCGUCGACAAGGAAUAUUUCUCAUCGUCAGCCGUCUAAGUUUUCCUACCCAAUACCGACUCGGCGACUUAAAUAUGUGUUGAACGACAUGGGUAGGAAUCAUAGUGGUAAGACAGAUCUUCCCUUUGCUUCGUUGAACCCUUUCUUAUUCUUGCAUUCUACAAAAUGACAUUACGAGUGCCUCGGUCAAAUAGUGUCACCACACACAAUCAACUGCUGUCCCAUAUCCUCUCCAUCUCUAUCUUGUUCCUGGAAGGAAAUUUCUCCGCCCAUCCAGGAGAACCAGAAAAAUAAGGCGCCAAGGUGCUAAUACGUGUCUGCGAACGCUCAAGAAUCAAACAAAGAAAAGAUCUGAUAUCGGAAAAGGGAUAUCCAAUUCCUUGUUUGCGUCUCCCACAUCGUUUCACUGAUGUGUCAGGCUAAAAAUUUCCCUCCCAAUCCAGCUUUGUGAAACCAAUGGCAAGGGGCGAAGCUCCAGAAUUCAGGGCAAAUGUCACGACGACUGGCCAAUGACGCAGUCGUCAUUCCGAGUUGCAAUAUCAUCGUCGGGCUCAUUUUAUUUUUUUUUCAAGCAUCCUGUUGGUGAUCAACUUGAUACUAUUAUUGUUUCUAGCUACUUUAGAGAGGUGAAUGAUAAUCAUGUGAUCGUUUUUGUGUCACGUGAUGGAGAUACCAUGGCGCC
rnacentral:sRNA from 2 species